UAAAAAAAUUAAAAAAAAAAAAUAAAAUAAAUAAAUUAAAAAAAUGUAAAUAAGGCCGGCAACCAUGUGCGCCUCACACACACACACACACACACACCUCAGAGCAGAGCAGUGACCUGGAAGGGGAGGGGGGAACCAAAGGCAGAGACCAUGGAGCAUCACCCAAAGCCCUUUUAUAGGGGCACAAAUACAAUCCCAGCACAUUAGGAAGCGGCAGUAUUAAACUACUAACAACAACAACAAUAAUAAUAAUAAUAAUAAUAAUGAUAAUAAUAAUAAUAUGCCACAAGUGUGUCUGAUAAGUGUUUAUUUUGCGAGGGAACGUAUUUUUAAACCGCCACCCUAAGAAAGUCAGCAUGGUAAAUGUUAUGGUAAAAAAAACCCGUGCUCUGGAAACGGGGCGUGGCUUGUAUGCUUCGAAUUCAAACGAGCGAAUCAGAGUGUCUUUCCCCCAUCCGGGAUAUUUUCAUUGGCUGACACGCCCCUACGUCACAUCAAACCCUGUAAACGAUUGGCUGACACGCCCCUGCGUGAAGGCUCGCCGUUUAAACCAGCAGGUCCUUCAGCUUCUCCAGCCGCUGCAGACUCACCCCACGGCCUCCACGUGUUUCUGUGGAUUCGGGAACAGGCAGGAUCAGAUCUUUUCAUUUGAUCAGCUCCUGCCUGAUCUGGAGAUCACACUCACUGACCGAUCAUGGGCAAAAUAUCCAUAAGGUCUGACCACAAAGGGCGAUCAGACUCAGCUCAGAGAGGAAAUGAUGGACGUGAAGCAGCGCGAGUUUUAACACAGCGCUUUCCUUCCACUCUGAGAGCGAACCUUUCAGCUGUUGAUGGAGGUCUUGUUACUGCUCCAGCAUUCUCUCACAAUACAGUAUCAGGGGAUGUAAACAUCGUCCUUAACAAAAUAGAUGUUGCGGUCACCCCGACAACUCAUCCUGUCAUCAAUAAGAACAACCGUUUAGCUCAGGAGGCUUUAGAUGACGACGACACCUCCUCAAAAACGAUUCUCAGGACUCCCAAAAAGAUCAAAAGAAAACCGCAGAUCAAUUUCCGGCGAAGGCGAGGCAAGGGUCUGCAUUCGGCCAGAGUCGGCUCCGCCCGAGGUAGAUUGACUUUUGAUGAUGUCGAAGUUCAGCCAGAUCGACUGGAUCCCCUGGAAGGCGAGAAUGAGGAGAACAAAGAGUGCGUUCAUCCACCAGGAGGACGCAUUCUGACCAGCCUUGUCGGAGAGAUCACAGGGACUCGAGUGACCGCUGACUACCUCUGUUGUGAAUGCGACUCUGCAGUUCGCCACUUUAGAGCCAAAGCCUUCAGUGUCAAGUGCACAAACUGCAGGCACAGCUGGAAGUGCGCCAAACUGCCGUGCACAUGCACGGCUGAAAUAACCAUCGAACUGUCUGACCGCACAAAGUGGACAGUGGUCCUGAGCGACUCACUGCUGCGCUCGAUUGUCAGCUUUGAAAGAGAGGGAUACUGUAACACGGACAAAAUCGAGAAAAAGGUUCUGAAGUUGGGCAACGUCAGAGUGGACUUCAUGGACGGGCAUCCUAAGAGGGUGGAAAGGAUUGCAGCAGACCAUGUUUAGAGUGCCUCUUGUACGACGCCGUUUUAGGGCCAAUGUUAAUAAAAAUAAAAAUAGUAGACUUUGAGAAUAAAGACGUAAGAUUUUGAGAAUAAAGCAUACCGAGAAAGGUUGUAAUAUUGUGGCCGAAGGCGCCUCCUGGUGUUAAAUGAGGGGCGUUGAGUUGGUGGAGCUGCCCUUUCAUUUCGAUUCCCCCAUAAAGAAACACUCAGCCUCCCCGUCUCUCCUGCUCAUCAGCACCAGCCUGGUAUCAGUGUAAGAAACGGCUGAAACGGCUGAGCAGGGAACUGUUUAUCUAGAAUAAAGAGCCGGACGGACUCGGAGGAAACCGUCUGUCUGUGUUGUUGAAGGAGAAACUCAGGCAGGGUGGUCUACACAGCUAUCGGGGGCUUCAUCUCCCCCAUUCAAAGAGGGCAUGAAGUUUCACAGGCAGUGAGGAUGAAGAUCAAAAUGAUCCUCAGAGAGACAGGAGUGAGUGGAGCUCCGGCGCCAGUGCAGCAACCGAGACCCCACGGCAGUGUAGCAGCCCCCCUACAGUUAGUCCCCUCUACAGUUAGACCACUUCAUCCUCCAAAUGUUAUGACUUUAUUCUCAAAGUCUACUAUUUUUAUUUUUAUUAACAGUGGCCCUAAAACACCGUCGUACUCAUAUUGACUUGCUGAAUCUUUUGAAGUACACUUGGUUCCAUUGGUUAAAAAAUUUUAUUUCCAUUGAUGAUGUGUGUGAUUUUGUUGUCAGCACAUUCCACUUUGUGCAGAACAAAGUAUUCUGUGAGAAUAUUUCAUUCAUUCAGAUCUAGGAUGUGUUAUUUGAGUGUUCCCUUUAUUUUUUUGAGCAGUGUAUUCCUACCAGGAAUGUAUGGGUACUCUUUUGGUCCAACAGAGCCAAAGAAAUCUACAUUCUGUUCCCCAGGAGUUUUCUGAAGACCAAAGCCUAAAAACCCUACAAGCUUAGAGCUUUGCUAAAGGUUCUUCUUCAGAACCGUAUUGGAAGAAACAAAACAGUAGGUUUGUGGAAUCUAAGUCUGAUGCCUCUUGUCUGACUCCAGGUUACCUCACCAUCAAACAAAUUGACACACAACUUAGUUUUAAAUCGACAAGCCACAUUGAUACGUUUUUUACCAGGUAUGUUCACUUCGAAUGGUUUGUGGUUGAGUAUUUGAACAGAAACCUUCCUGAUUACUUGAAUCAAAAAGGCUCGUUGAAAUACGAGGACAACGAAAUCCAUCCCGUCUUCUCUGAACCCGAUAGAAGGGCUACUGUGACACAAGUAGAAGAUAUUUACCGUCUACCUAUACAUCUUGGCGGACAAGAUACACCCCCUCAUGGUAAAGAUAUUUCCUGAGGGCAGUGGCUGGAUAAUGCGCCCUGCCACACUGAACACAGUGAGGGUGUUUACAUGCACUCAGGAGUCCGAUCAUGAUCAGAUUUCUGCAGUUAUCUGAUUAUUCAAAUGGUCAUGUAAACAGCACUCUCUGAUUUCUUACAUCAGGGUAAGGUCUAGAAACCUGAUUUAAAAAUCUGAGGCUGGAUUUCAGCUCAGUAAUCAGAUUCAACAGCGCUGUGAACUCUUACUCUGAUUUCUUUCGGCUUUCUAAAUCUGCAAGUGCGAAAACAGACCACGGCACCGAAACUGCAAGAUGCAGCAAAACACUUUGAAAACAUUCUUCAUCUUCUAGACGCUGUUUGUUCAUAUUUUCAGAUCAUUUUCAGAUGUACAGUCAUUAUUGCACUGCAUCUUUCAUCUCAGGUUAUAGAUCUUAUUACAGAUAGUGGUAUUUUUCUAUUUGUAUAUCUGCCGACAGAGAAGACGUGGUAUAUUUAUUCUUCCUGUUAUAUUGUUUACACCCUUAUUACUAUUACUUUAUCUGUCUGUCUGUCCGUCUAUCUAUCUAUCUAUCUAUGUAUAUCUAUCUAUCUAUAUGGGUAAUACCACUGACAUGGGGGGGCUGUAUCUAUAAGAGUUAUUUAACCUAAACUGCCCAAAAGGGAUAUAAACCCCCCCCCAUUUCUGUGCCCUGAGUUUGAUGUUUAUGGCAUUUGGCUGACGCUCUUGUCCAGAGCGACUUACAAUUUGAUCAUUUUACACAGGGAGGUGAAGUUAGGAGUCUUUCCCAAGGACUCUUAUUGGUAUAGUGUAGGGUGUUUGCCCAGGUGAGUAUUGAACCCCAGUCUACAGUGUAGAAAGCAGAGGUCUUACCCACUACACUAACCAACCACACUGAGUUGGAUAAACUCUCAUCAUUAGCUGUUCUUUUGGGGAGAGAAACUCUGGGGAGGUCAGCUAGUGCUGUUUAAUGAGGGCUUCGGUGUAAAUAAGUGCAUAUUUUCAUGUUGUAAGACGUUUAAAACGCUGAUAAGGGACUUAAAGGGUUAUUGAAACAGCCGGAGUGUAAAUGUAUGAGAGAUUCCUG
ensembl:lncRNA